ACACGACCGGCGCACGGGUGAGUAACGCGUAUGCAACCUGCCUCUAACUGGGGCAUAGCCCGAAGAAAUUCGGAUUAAUUUCCCAUAUUAUUCAAUGAUCGCAUGAUGAUUGAAUGAAAGCUCCGGCGGUUAAAGAUGGGCAUGCGUGACAUUAGUUUGUUGGUAAGGUAACGGCUUACCAAGACUACGAUGGGUAGGGGGCCUGAGAGGGUGAUCCCCCACACUGGUACUGAGAUACGGACCAGACUCCUACGGGAGGCAGCAGUGAGGAAUAUUGGUCAAUGGACGAAAGUCUGAACCAGCCAUGCCGCGUGCAGGAUGACGGCCCUAUGGGUUGUAAACUGCUUUUCUGAGAGAAGAAUCCCCCCGAAUUUUCGGGAAUUGACGGUACCUAUAGAAUAACCACCGGCUAACUUCGUGCCAGCAGCCGCGGUAAUACGGAGGAGGCAAGCGUUGUUCGGAAUUAUUGGGCUUAAAGCGCGUGUAGGCGGGCCGGGCAGUACUUUGUGAAAGCCCCGGCUUCAAUCCGGGAAUUGCUUGGUAUACUGCUAUCCUUGAGGCAGGUAGGGGUGACUGGAACUCUAGGUGGAGCGGUGAAAUGCGUAGAUAACUAGAGGAACGCCGGUGGCGAAAGCGACCCGCUGGGCCUGUUCUGACGCUGAGACGCGAAAGCGUAGGGCGCAAACGGGAUUAGAUACCCCGGUAGUCUACGCCGUAAACGAUGCGCACUAGGUUCGAGGGCUUCUGACGGUUCUCGGGCCGAAGCAAAAGUGUUAAGUGCGCCGCCUGGGGAGUACGGCCGCAAGGCUAAAACUCAAAGGAAUUGACGGGGGCUCACACAAGCGGUGGAGCAUGUGGAUCAAUUCGAAGCAACGCGAAGAACCUUACCUGGGUUUGACAUUCACGGAUGCCCUCUUGGAAACAGGAGUAAGCUGCCUUCGGGUGAAACGUGAACAGGUGCUGCAUGGCUGUCGUCAGCUCGUGCUGUGAAGUGUCGGGUUAAGUCCCUUAACGAGCGAAACCCUUGUCGCUAGUUGCCAGCGGUUCGGCCGGGAACUCUAGCGAGACUGCCGGCGUUAAGCCGGAGGAAGGUGGGGACGACGUCAAGUCAUCAUGGCCUUUAUGCCCAGGGUGUCACACGUGCUACAAUGGGGCGUACAGAGCGACGCGAGACCGUAAGGUGGAGCAAAUCGCACAAACCAUGCCCCAGUUCGGAUUGUGGUCUGCAACUCGACCACAUGAAGUUGGAAUCGCUAGUAAUCGCGUAUCAGCUACGACGCGGUGAAUACGUUCCUGAGCCUUGUACACACCGCCCGUCAAGUCAUGGAAGCUGGGAGUUCCCGAA
rnacentral:rRNA from 1 species